rnacentral:miRNA from 1 species
AAAUAUUUUUUUUGUAUAUUUA